CUAGAAUAGUUUAUAUGAAGCUUCUAACUUCUAGAUUAGCGGUAGCUACUAAG
rnacentral:tRNA from 1 species